AUGACAGAGCCAUUCACAGAACUCAUUAUUUUGACCACACAGGGAGUGCAGCCAGCAAAGUGGGGGUGUAUUCACACCUCUGGUUGCGGGAGAGAAGACACAAGGACUUCUAAUUUCUUUGAUGGCACAGGAACAGUGGCAUCACAGAGCCUCGUGAUAGAUGAGCCGGUACUGGACCUGAGGCCGGUCUGGCGGAGGGAGGGAUGUUGGCAGCGCAGGAGCCUCCGGGAACGGUGCGUCCGACAGCACUUUCAGGUGAGGAGUCACCUUGUGGCCGAAGGAGCAGUCGCUCCUUCUGCCACUUCAGCAGCUCCUUCUGCUCUCCCUGCUGGCAGUACUGGAACAGCAGCCACACCAGCCAGCCGACAUCAUUCUCCACAAGCCACCUGA
rnacentral:lncRNA from 1 species